rnacentral:rRNA from 1 species
GACGGGGGAUGCAAGCGUUAUCCGGACUCACGGGGCGUAAAGCGUCUGUAGGUGGUGAUGCAAGUCACUGGUGCAAAACUCUGGCUCAACCGGAGGAAAGCCAGUGAAACUGCAUGACUAGAGUGUGGGAGAGGUAGAAGGAAUUCCCUGAGUAGCGGUGAAAUGCGUAGAUACAGGGAAGAACACCGGAGGCGAAAGCGUUCUACUGGAACACAACUGACACUGAGAGACGAAAGCUAGGGGAGAUAAGGGG